rnacentral:lncRNA from 1 species
UAUAUCAAAUACAGUAAUGAAAUGGAAUGAAAGUAGUAGUCCAAGAUAUAGGAGGUACUAGGUAGUGACCAUGACGUGGUAAUUGCAACAAAUUAGACCUAAGGUACCCCAGACCGGCAGGCCCCAACAACUUCAGUUCAUUGCACUGAUAAAACACCGAACUAGAGCGUGCAAAAGGGGAUUGAAAGCAAUGCUAAGAUUUGAUCUGUAAUUGAGGUGUAGAAAUAAGAGCACUCAUAAGCUAGCCACAACAAAGUAGACACCUCCACCGUGAACGAUGCUUCUUGAUAACAAGAUCAUGUCUCUUGUCGGUUUGAAUUAGUGUCAUCGGGCUGCUAUUCCAGUCCGAAUUUAG